GAUGAACGCUAGCUACAGGCUUAACACAUGCAAGUCGAGGGGCAGCAUGGAAGAAGCUUGCUUCUUCUGAUGGCGACCGGCGCACGGGUGCGUAACGCGUAUCAAACCUGCCUCAUACUCGGGGAUAGCCUUGCGAAAGUAAGAUUAAUACCCGAUGUUGUUAUGUUGCCGCAUGGUGAUAUAACCAAAGAUUUAUCGGUAUGAGAUGGUGAUGCGUCCGAUUAGGUAGUAGGCGGGGUAACGGCCCACCUAGCCUUCGAUCGGUAGGGGUUCUGAGAGGAAGGUCCCCCACACUGGAACUGAGACACGGUCCAGACUCCUACGGGAGGCAGCAGUGAGGAAUAUUGGUCAAUGGACGGAAGUCUGAACCAGCCAAGUAGCGUGCAGGAUGACGGCCCUCCGGGUUGUAAACUGCUUUUAGUUGGGAAUAAAAAAGAGGACGUGUCCUCUAUUGUAUGUACCUUCAGAAAAAGGACCGGCUAAUUCCGUGCCAGCAGCCGCGGUAAUACGGAAGGUCCAGGCGUUAUCCGGAUUUAUUGGGUUUAAAGGGAGCGUAGGCGGAUUAUUAAGUCAGUGGUGAAAGACGGUGGCUCAACCAUCGUUAGCCAUUGAAACUGGUAGUCUUGAGUGCAGACAGGGAUGCUGGAACUCGUGGUGUAGCGGUGAAAUGCUUAGAUAUCACGAUGAACUCCGAUCGCGAAGGCAGGUGUCCGGGCUGCAACUGACGCUGAGGCUCGAAAGUGUGGGUAUCAAACAGG
rnacentral:rRNA from 1 species